CUUGCCCGCUGGCGGCAGGCCUAACACAUGCAAGUCGAGCGGAUGAAGGGAGCUUGCUCCUGGAUUCAGCGGCGGACGGGUGAGUAAUGACUAGGAAUCUGCCUGGUAGUGGGGGAUAACGUACGGAAACGGACGCUAAUACAGCAUACGUCCUGAGGGAGAAAGUGGGGGAUCAUCGGACAUCGAGCUAUCAGCUGAGCCUAGGUCGGAUUAGCUAGUUGGUGGGGUAAAGGCCUACCAAGGCGACGAUCCGUAACUGGUCUGAGAGGAUGAUCAGUCACACUGGAACUGAGACACGGUCCAGACUCCUACGGGAGGCAGCAGUGGGGAAUAUUGGACAAUGGGCGAAAGCCUGAUCCAGCCAUGCCGCGUGUGUGAAGAAGGUCUUCGGAUUGUAAAGCACUUUAAGUUGGGAGGAAGGGCAGUAAGUGAAUACCUUGCUGUUUUGACGGUACCAACAGAAUAAGCACCGGCUAACUUCGUG
rnacentral:rRNA from 1 species